rnacentral:rRNA from 1 species
AUUGAACGCUGGCGGCAGGCUUAACACAUGCAAGUCGAGCGGAGAGAAGUAGCUUGCUACUGAUCUUAGCGGCGGACGGGUGAGUAAUGCUUAGGAAUCUGCCUAUUAGUGGGGGACAACAUUUCGAAAGGAAUGCUAAUACCGCAUACGUCCUACGGGAGAAAGCAGGGGAUCUUCGGACCUUGCGCUAAUAGAUGAGCCUAAGUCGGAUUAGCUAGUUGGUGGGGUAAAGGCCUACCAAGGCGACGAUCUGUAGCGGGUCUGAGAGGAUGAUCCGCCACACUGGGACUGAGACACGGCCCAGACUCCUACGGGAGGCAGCAGUGGGGAAUAUUGGACAAUGGGCGGAAGCCUGAUCCAGCCAUGCCGCGUGUGUGAAGAAGGCCUUAUGGUUGUAAAGCACUUUAAGCGAGGAGGAGGCUACUUUAGUUAAUACCUAGAGAUAGUGGACGUUACUCGCAGAAUAAGCACCGGCUAACUCUGUGCCAGCAGCCGCGGUAACAC